rnacentral:rRNA from 1 species
CGGAUCCGCGCCGCUGCAGAGUUUGAUCCUGGCUCAGGAUGAACGCUGGCGGCGUGCCUAAUACAUGCAAGUCGAACGAGGGUAGCAAUACUCGAGUGGCGAACGGGUGAGUAACACGUAGGUAACCUGCCUUACAGUUUGGGAUACCCGAGGGAAACCUUGGCUAAUACCGAAUAAUUCUUCUGAAGGCAUCUUCGGAAGCUAAAAGGGGCCUUUAAAGCCUCGCUGAAUGAUGGACCUGCGGCGCAUUAGCUAGUUGGUGAGAUAAUAGCCCACCAAGGCGAGGAUGCGUAGCCGACCUAAGAGGGUGAACGGCCACACUGGAACUGAGACACGGUCCAGACUCCUACGGGAGGCAGCAGUAGGGAGUUUUCGGCAAUGGGGGAAACCCUGACCGAGCAACGCCGCGUGAACGAUGAAGGUCUUCGGAUUGUAAAGUUCUGUUAUAAGGGAAGAAUGAUAGCUUGAGGAAAUGCUAGUUAUUUGACGGUACCUUAUUAGAAAGCCACGGCUAACUACGUGCCAGCAGCCGCGGUAAUACGUAGGUGGCGAGCGUUAUCCGGAAUUAUUGGGCGUAAAGAGUGAGCAGGCGGCAUGAUAAGUUUGAAGUGAAAGCGUGGGGCUUAACCCCAUACAGCUCCAAAAACUGUCAAGCUAGAGUGCGAGAGAGGUAAACGGAACUCCAUGUGUAGCGGUGAAAUGCGUAGAUAUAUGGAAGAACACCAGUGGCGAAGGCGGUUUACUAGCUCGAUACUGACGCUCAGUCACGAAAGCGUGGGGAGCAAAUAGGAUUAGAUACCCUAGUAGUCCACGCCGUAAACGAUGACAACUAAAUAUUGCUGUGAAGCAGUAUUGAAGCUAACGCAUUAAGUUGUCCGCCUGGGGAGUACGGUCGCAAGACUGAAACUUAAAGGAAUUGACGGGGACCCGCACAAGCAGUGGAGCAUGUGGUUUAAUUCGAUGCUACGCGAAGAACCUUACCAGGGCUUGACAUGGAUUUAAAUGUUCUAGAGAUAGAAAGAUAGUCAUAAAUCACACAGGUGGUGCAUGGUUGUCGUCAGCUCGUGUCGUGAGAUGUUGGGUUAAGUCCCGCAACGAGCGCAACCCUUGUCCUUAGUUGCUACAUUAAGUUGGGAACUCUAAGGAGACUGCCGAUGUAAAUCGGAGGAAGGUGGGGAUGACGUCAAAUCAUCAUGCCCUUUAUGUCCUGGGCGACACACGUGCUACAAUGGCCGGUACAAAGAGACGCAAAACCGCGAGGUCAAGCAAAUCUCAUAAAGCCGGUCUCAGUUCAGAUUGGAGUCUGCAACUCGACUCCAUGAAGUCGGAAUUGCUAGUAAUCGCAGAUCAGCCAUGCUGCGGUGAAUACGUUCCCGGGUCUUGUACACACCGCCCGUCAAACCAUGAGAGCUGGUAAUACUCGAAGUCGUUAUCCUAACCGCAAGGGGGGAGACGCCUAAGGUAGGACUGGUGAUUGGGGUUAAGUCGUAACAAGGUAA